rnacentral:rRNA from 1 species
UAGGGAAUCUUCGGCAAUGGACGAAAGUCUGACCGAGCAACGCCGCGUGAGUGAAGAAGGUUUUCGGAUCGUGAAACUCUGUUGGUAGAGAAGAACGUUGGUGAGAGUGGAAAGCUCAUCAAGUGACGGUAACUACCCAGAAAGGGACGGCUAACUACGUGCCAGCAGCCGCGGUAAUACGUAGGUCCCGAGCGUUGUCCGGAUUUAUUGGGCGUAAAGCGAGCGCAGGUUGUUUAUUAAGUCUGGUGUAAAAGGCAGUGGCUCAACCAUUGUAUGCAUUGGAAACUUGUAGACUUGAGUGCAGGAGAGGAGAGUGGAAUUCCAUGUGUAGCGGUGAAAUGCGUAGAUAUAUGGAGGAACACCGGUGGCGAAAGCGGCUCUCUGGCCUGUAACUGACACUGAGGCUCGAAAGCGUGGGGAGCAAACA